AGUGAACGCUGGCGGUAGGCCUAACACAUGCAAGUCGAACGGCAGCACAGUAAGAGCUUGCUCUUACGGGUGGCGAGUGGCGGACGGGUGAGGAAUACAUCGGAAUCUACUUUUUCGUGGGGGAUAACGUAGGGAAACUUACGCUAAUACCGCAUACGACCUACGGGUGAAAGCAGGAGAUCUUCGGACCUUGCGCGAUUGAAUUAGCCGAUGUCGGAUUAGCUAGUUGGCGGGGUAAAGGCCCACCAAGGCGACGCUCCGUAGCUGGCCUGAGAGGAUGAUCAGCCACACUGGAACUGAGACACGGUCCAGACUCCUACGGGAGGCAGCAGUGGGGAAUAUUCGGCAAUGGGCGCAAGCCUGAUCCAGCCAUACCGCGUGGGUGAAGAAGGCCUUCGGGUUGUAAAGCCCUUUUGUUGGGAAAGAAAAGCAGCAGGUUAAUACCCCGCUGUUCUGACGGUACCCAAAGAAUAAGCACCGGCUAACUUCGUG
rnacentral:rRNA from 1 species